UACGUAGGGGGCAAGCGUUGUCCGGAAUCAUUGGGCGUAAAGAGCGUGUAGGCGGCCAGACAGGUCCGUUGUGAAAAUUCGAGGCUCAACCUCGAGACGCCGAUGGAAACCGUCUGGCUAGAGUCCGGAAGAGGAGAGUGGAAUUCCUGGUGUAGCGGUGAAAUGCGCAGAUAUCAGGAAGAACACCCGUGGCUAAGGCGGCUCUCUAGUACGGUACUGACGCUGAGACGCGAAAGCGUGGGGAGCGAACAGG
rnacentral:rRNA from 1 species